GACGAACGCUGGCGGCGUGCUUAACACAUGCAAGUCGAACGAAGUGGCGCACGGGUGAGUAACGCGUAAUCAACCUGCCCUUCCGAGGGGGACAACAGUUGGAAACGACUGCUAAUACCGCAUACUGAAGGAGGGGAUUGCGUCUGAUUGGCUAGUUGGGGGGGUAACGGCCCACCAAGGCGAUGAUCAGUAGCCGGUCCGGGAGGGUGGACGGGCACAUUGGGACUGAGACACGGCCCAGACUCCUACGGGGGGCAGCAGUGGGGAAUCUUCCGCAAUUGACGGAAGUCUGACGGAGCAAAGCCGCGUGAGUGAUGACGGCCUUCGGGUUGUAAAGCUCUGUUAAUCGGGACGCGGUACCGGAAUAGAAAGCCACGGCUAACUACGUGCCAGCAGCCGCGGUAAUAC
rnacentral:rRNA from 1 species